UACAGAGGUCUCGAGCGUUAGGCGGAAUCACUGGGCUUAAAGCGUGUGUAGGUGGAUCGUUAAGUACCUUGUGAAAUCCCACGGCUUAACCGUGGAACUGCUUGGUAUACUGGCGGUCUUGAGCCACUUAGGGGCUACCGGAACAAAUGGUGGAGCGGUGAAAUGCGUAGAUAUUCGGAAGAACACCAGUGGCGAAGGCGACUCACUGGACACGUAUUGACGCUGAGGUGCGAAAGCGUGGGGAGCAAACAGG
rnacentral:rRNA from 1 species